GUGUCCCGGCGGGACGGGGCGGGGGGUCCCGGGGGAAGCCGCGGGAGCCGGUGUGCGGGGGGUGCGGGGCGGCCCCGGGCACUGCGGGGAGGCCUCGCCGGGCGCCCCAAGGCGGGCAGCGCUGCGGGCUCCCCGCGCCCCCUCUUGCGCCCGCUCCCCACGGCGCCCCCCGGCUGUGCCCGCGGGCACCCGCACCUGCCGCGGGUGGGUGUCCCGUGUCCCCGCACCGAGAAGGGCUUUUGCAAGGCUUCCCUGGGCACUUGGGAAGGUCCCGAUGGGAGCUGCAUGCCUACUCGCUCCAGCUUUCCUGACCCGGGCUGGUGUCCGAGGCCCCGUGCGCUUCAGUUGCUAGUGUUACUGGCCUGCCAGGUUUUCUAAAAUCAGGAUAGGCUCACGCUCAGCUGAACAGAACAGGGAUGAGGAAGGGGCAAUGAUUACAGCGCAGUGUUUCCUCUAAUUUCACCACGGAUGUAAGAGGAGGGAUGAAGCAGAGAUCUGCCCGGCCUUUGUCACCGUGCGUGUGCCGCCAGAGGCAGAAACGUGGAAAAUUUCCAGCGGGAAGGGGAGCGGCAAGAAAGAAUAAAAAGCCAAUUGCAGUAGAAAGAUCUAGAAACCUUUCAUCUUUUCUAAGCAAAAUUAAUGCCAAGUGCAUGCCUUUUCUGCACCCCUCCUGCUGACCCAUUUGUGUUGCACGACUUGGUUCACCAAAGUGAUUCAGGUUGGGCAGCUUCACUUUCUUAGGUGACGUUUGGCAGUUCCUGAGAGAAAGAUGAUGUGAAAUAUGUGGGCACAUGAUGAAAACUACUUCCAACAGCAGAAGACUAUACCCAGAAGUGACUCAGAGAACCUCUGUUAAAACCCUACGUGUUUUUCCUGCGUUGCAAUGUGCUGAAUGCCAUUUAUCAUCACUGAACUUAUUACCUAUCAGUGUAUCCCUCCCUCUAGUGAAAACUGCAUUUAUAAACUCAGAAGUGUCUGAUUUGUGUUAACACCGCAUAAACUACUGCUCUCCUUACUUUCUCACACUUUUUAUUGUAAUAUAUUAGCUUAGAUGCAAA